rnacentral:rRNA from 1 species
UUAAGCGACUAAGCGUACACGGUGGAUGCCCUGGCAGUCAGAGGCGAUGAAGGACGUGCUAAUCUGCGAAAAGCGCCGGCGAGGUGAUAUGAACCUUUGACCCGGCGAUGUCCGAAUGGGGAAACCCAGUGUGUUCCGACACACUAUCGUUAACUGAAUACAUAGGUUAACGAGGCGAACCGGGGGAACUGAAACAUCUAAGUACCCCGAGGAAAAGAAAUCAACCGAGAUUCCCCCAGUAGCGGCGAGCGAACGGGGAGCAGCCCGGAGUCUGAAUCAGCUUGUGUGUUAGUGGAACGGUCUGGAAAGUCCGACGGUACAGGGUGAUAGUCCCGUACACGAAAAUGCACAGGUUGUGAACUCGAAGAGUAGGGCGGGACACGUGGUAUCCUGUCUGAAUAUGGGGGGACCAUCCUCCAAGGCUAAAUACUCCUGACUGACCGAUAGUGAACCAGUACCGUGAGGGAAAGGCGAAAAGAACCCCGGCGAGGGGAGUGAAAAAGAACCUGAAACCGUGUACGUACAAGCAGUGGGAGCACCUUCGGGUGUGACUGCGUACCUUUUGUAUAAUGGGUCAGCGACUUAUAUUCUGUAGCAAGGUUAACCGUAUAGGGGAGCCGAAGGGAAACCGAGUCUUAACUGGGCGUUAAGUUGCAGGGUAUAGACCCGAAACCCGGUGAUCUAGCCAUGGGCAGGUUGAAGGUUGGGUAACACUAACUGGAGGACCGAACCGACUAAUGUUGAAAAAUUAGCGGAUGACCUGUGGCUGGGGGUGAAAGGCCAAUCAAACCGGGAGAUAGCUGGUUCUCCCCGAAAGCUAUUUAGGUAGCGCCUCGUGAACUCAUCUUCGGGGGUAGAGCACUGUUUCGGCUAGGGGGCCAUCCCGGCUUACCAACCCGAUGCAAACUACGAAUACCGAAGAAUGUUAUCACGGGAGACACACGGCGGGUGCUAACGUCCGUCGUGAAGAGGGAAACAACCCAGACCGCCAGCUAAGGUCCCAAAGUCAUGGUUAAGUGGGAAACGAUGUGGGAAGGCACAGACAGCCAGGAUGUUGGCUUAGAAGCAGCCAUCAUUUAAAGAAAGCGUAAUAGCUCACUGGUCGAGUCGGCCUGCGCGGAAGAUGUAACGGGGCUAAACCAUGCACCGAAGCUGCGGCAGCGACGCUUAUGUGUUGUUGGGUAGGGGAGCGUUCUGUAAGCCGUUGAAGGUGUGCUGUGAGGCAUGCUGGAGGUAUCAGAAGUGCGAAUGCUGACAUAAGUAACGAUAAAGCGGGUGAAAAGCCCGCUCGCCGGAAGACCAAGGGUUCCUGUCCAACGUUAAUCGGGGCAGGGUGAGUCGACCCCUAAGGCGAGGCCGAAAGGCGUAGUCGAUGGGAAACAGGUUAAUAUUCCUGUACUUGGUGUUACUGCGAAGGGGGGACGGAGAAGGCUAUGUCAGCCGGGCGACGGUUGUCCCGGUUUAAGCAUGUAGGCGGAGGUUCCAGGUAAAUCCGGUACCUUGUUAACGCUGAGGUGUGAUGACGAGGCACUACGGUGCUGAAGUGAUAAAUGCCCUGCUUCCAGGAAAAGCCUCUAAGCAUCAGGUAACACGAAAUCGUACCCCAAACCGACACAGGUGGUCAGGUAGAGAAUACCAAGGCGCUUGAGAGAACUCGGGUGAAGGAACUAGGCAAAAUGGUGCCGUAACUUCGGGAGAAGGCACGCUGAUAUGUAGGUGAAGUCCCUGCGGACGGAGCUGAAAUCAGUCGAAGAUACCAGCUGGCUGCAACUGUUUAUUAAAAACACAGCACUGUGCAAACACGAAAGUGGACGUAUACGGUGUGACGCCUGCCCGGUGCCGGAAGGUUAAUUGAUGGGGUUAGCGGCAACGCGAAGCUCUUGAUCGAAGCCCCGGUAAACGGCGGCCGUAACUAUAACGGUCCUAAGGUAGCGAAAUUCCUUGUCGGGUAAGUUCCGACCUGCACGAAUGGCGUAAUGAUGGCCAGGCUGUCUCCACCCGAGACUCAGUGAAAUUGAACUCGCUGUGAAGAUGCAGUGUACCCGCGGCAAGACGGAAAGACCCCGUGAACCUUUACUAUAGCUUGACACUGAACACUGGUCCUUGAUGUGUAGGAUAGGUGGGAGGCUUUGAAGCGUGGACGCCAGUCUGCGUGGAGUCAUCCUUGAAAUACCACCCUUUAAUGGCUGGUGUUCUAACGUAGACCCGUGAUCCGGGUUGCGGACAGUGUCUGGUGGGUAGUUUGACUGGGGCGGUCUCCUCCCAAAGAGUAACGGAGGAGCACGAAGGUUGGCUAAUCCUGGUCGGACAUCAGGAGGUUAGUGCAAUGGCAUAAGCCAGCUUGACUGCGAGCGUGACGGCGCGAGCAGGUGCGAAAGCAGGUCAUAGUGAUCCGGUGGUUCUGAAUGGAAGGGCCAUCGCUCAACGGAUAAAAGGUACUCCGGGGAUAACAGGCUGAUACCGCCCAAGAGUUCAUAUCGACGGCGGUGUUUGGCACCUCGAUGUCGGCUCAUCACAUCCUGGGGCUGAAGUAGGUCCCAAGGGUAUGGCUGUUCGCCAUUUAAAGUGGUACGCGAGCUGGGUUUAGAACGUCGUGAGACAGUUCGGUCCCUAUCUGCCGUGGGCGCUGGAGAAUUGAGGGGGGCUGCUCCUAGUACGAGAGGACCGGAGUGGACGCAUCACUGGUGUUCGGGUUGUCAUGCCAAUGGCACUGCCCGGUAGCUAAAUGCGGAAGAGAUAAGUGCUGAAAGCAUCUAAGCACGAAACUUGCCCCGAGAUGAGUUCUCCCUGAGACCUUGAGUCUCCUGAAGGAACGUUGAAGACGACGACGUUGAUAGGUCGGGUGUGUAAGCGCAGCGAUGCGUUGAGCUAACCGAUACUAAUGAACCGUGAGGCUUAACCUU